CCGUGAGGCGGAGGACAGGCUGGGGGAUCCCAAAGGGUGCGCUCCAGCCCCCAACCCAGGCACUGGGACUCUGGUGGCACCCUGGGUGGCAGGCAAGCCUUGAAAUCAAGUGCACGAGCCUUGGAAAGGAGGACCGGGAGAGUUAUGGCAUUUAUGAAUGAAGAAGAGAAAGAGAAUCACUCGGAUGGGAAAAGUUAACUGGAUUGUUCCCACCUGCAUGGAUCACCGGGAUGAAGCUGUGCCACCCUGUAGGAAUUAGAAGACCAUGUCCAGGAAUUGAGCACUGGGUGCAGGAUCCAGUCUUCUGAGGCCCUGAAACCACAUGGGUCACCAUAGUGCGCUUCAUGGGGUGGGAAGUGGUGGCCUCUAAGUGUCUAUCAACUGUGAAGACUGCAAAGAGGGAUCCAUGGCUGUUGGAGCAAUGAGAUACGCGAUGACGUAGACAGAUCCGGAAAGCGCAUCGUCUCCUGAGCAGAAGGGCACUCAUAAGCAACUUAGCCGUCUCGCCUUGCGGCCUGGAACCCCUGGCAAUUUCCGGAGCACCGGCAAGAGACUUUUGCACAGUUUCUGCUUGGAGUCUACCGACUGUCUGUCUCAGAGGUCUGGACAGCUGCUUGUUACAUUUGGCUCACGCUAGCUUAAAAAAGGAAUUUAUGGACCUUACUGCAGAACGUCCCAAUUCUUCAGGCCAAGGUGCCUGUGUUCCUGCUCGGUUUCUGGAUUGCUUGGUACUUAAAUGAAACAUCUUAUUAAUCAUUUCCCGGGAAUGCUGUGCAGGCAAAAGGAAAACAAAGGCAUUCAGGAGCCACAGAAAAGUGUACUGGCUCCUGUCCUGGAUCAACUCAGAAAAUGAAACACAUCGGAUUCUGUCCAGGCCGGGCACAGCAACCUGGCCCAUCCAUGUGGAGCCUGCAGUGACCACUUCCGCUGUCUGCACAAAACUGGAGGGAGGCUGGGGGUGCUCCAAGUAUAAGUUUCCUCAUCAGCAAACCGGAAAGAGAAAGACCGACCUGGAGGCUGGUUAUGGGGAUAAAAUAAAUAUGUCCUUAUAUAUGUGUAUAAAGCCCCAGCACAAACAGCAGUCGCCGCAUGGGUCAGGGAGGCACUGCUUGGAGCCUUAUGUGACCGUGUUCUCACAUUAUCUUCCAACUGGUUUGGGAGACAGGUACUGCUAUGAUCUCUGUAUUACACAGAAGCAAACUGAAGCUCAGAGUGGCCGCUCACUUCACUCCGAACAGAAGGUGCUUGAGCUCUGUGCUGAUAGAUGGAAUCCCAGAUUUUCCAUUUAACUUUUGAUGUUGUGUCGUGGGAGUGGUGUUCCACCUUUGGAGGGUUUUAAGGACUCUUUAUUAACCAGCAAGGGUUCUUGUGCCUUUAAGGAGGAGUGAUUGAGAGGCACCUGCAAGGCCGGUGGAGGCUGCUCUGGAGGCCUGCCUCUUCCAGCCCACAGGCCCUGCUUCCUGGAACUGGUGUGGGUCACUCAUUCCAGUUCGCCUCUGAAACUAUUUUCAUGACAGUAAGCUGCUACCUCAAGAAACAGCAACAGUAGGGAUUUUGCCUGUCAGGUAAGGUGCUUGGGGAGUGAAGGCUGUGGUCAGGAUCCAAGCAGGAAGCCUGAGUUCAUGUCUAUUCUUCACCGAGCAUGGCCAAGUCCAUUUGAGUCCAUCUCCAGAAGACAUGUCAAAAUCACCCACUUAUCUCCAUCUUCAACUCCUCCCAGGUCACCACCUUAUCUUCCUUAGAUGACUGCACUAGCUUCCUGACUGGUUUCCCUAAAACCCAUUCAUUUAUCUAUCCCUUCUACCAUUUCUCCCACCAAACAUCCAUCUCACCACCCACCAUCCUGCCACUUAUCUUUCCCUCCCUCCCUCAUUCCCUUCCUCCAUCUAUCUCUCCAUCCAUCCAUCCAUCCAUCCAUCCAUCCAUCCAUCCACCCACUAAUAUGUAUUUAGUGGUUACAAUGUCCCAAGCACUGUAUGGGUCCCAGUGUAGGUGGAAAAGGAAACAGAUUUCCUGACCUCAAACAAAACAAUAAAUUUCAAAGUAAGAAGCCCCACGAGGGAGGAAGUGUAGGCUGUCUUGAAAGAGGAUGAUAUCAGGAGACAUAUAUGGAGAGGGCUUGGAGGAGGUGAUGCGCCUCACCAGGAGGUGAUAUACUGAUAGAGGGACUAUAUAAUUUAUUGAUCAAACGGGGCCAUUUUGGGGAGUGAGAGGAGGAGCUAUUAAACAUUUUUUCAGGGCACCAGGUGCAUGUCAGGACUGGCCAGGUAAACUGAGCUGCAUGGCUACCUCCUACAAGCCAAGGUUCACAGCAUGAGCUGAGAAAGGGGCAAGGAGGAGAGAAAUGCCCCUUCCUUUCCUUGGGGAGAGCCUGCAAACCUACAUUUAAAAGAACUAGGAGAAGGCUGGGUCCGGUGGCUCACGCCUGUAAUCCCAGCUCUUUGGGAGGCUGAGGUGGGUGGAUCAUGAGGUCAG
rnacentral:lncRNA from 1 species